rnacentral:rRNA from 1 species
GUCCCGUAACGAGCGCAACCCUUGUCCUUAGUUACCAGCACGUUAUGGUGGGCACUCUAAGGAGACUGCCGGUGACGAAACCGGAGGAAGGGUGGGGAUGACGUCAAGUCAUCAUCGGCCCUUACGGCCGUGGGCUACACACGUGCUACAAUGGUCGGUACAAAGGGUUGCCAAGCCGCGAGGUGGAGCUAAUCCCAUAAAACCGAUCGUAGUCCGGAUCGCAGUCUGCAACUCGACUGCGUGAAGUCGGAAUCGCUAGUAAUCGUGAAUCAGAAUGUCACGGUGAAUACGUUCCCGGGCCUU